UACGUAGGGCGCAAGCGUUGUCCGGAAUUAUUGGGCGUAAAGAGCUCGUAGGCGGCUUGUCACGUCUGCUGUGAAAUCCCGGGGCUCAACCCCGGGCGUGCAGUGGAUACGGGCUGGCUAGAGGCAGGCAGGGGAGAACGGAAUUCCCGGUGUAGCGGUGAAAUGCGCAGAUAUCGGGAGGAGCACCGGUGGCGAAGGCGGUUCUCUGGGCCUGUACUGACGCUGAGGAGCGAAAGCGUGGGGAGCGAACAGG
rnacentral:rRNA from 1 species